GACGAUUAUUGGGCCUAAAGCGUCCGUAGCCGGUUCUACAAGUCUUCCGUUAAAUCCACCUGCUUAACAGAUGGGCUGCGGAAGAUACUAUAGAGCUAGGAGGCGGGAGAGGCAAGCGGUACUCGAUGGGUAGGGGUAAAAUCCGUUGAUCCAUUGAAGACCACCAGUGGCGAAGGCGGCUUGCCAGAACGCGCUCGACGGUGAGGGAUGAAAGCUGGGGGAGCAAACCGG
rnacentral:rRNA from 1 species